rnacentral:rRNA from 1 species
GACGAACGCUGGCGGCGUGCCUAAUACAUGCAAGUCGAACGCACAGUUUAUACCGUAGCUUGCUACACCAUAAACUGUGAGUUGCGAACGGGUGAGUAACGCGUAGGUAACCUGCCUGGUAGCGGGGGAUAACUAUUGUAACCGAUAGCUAAUACCGCAUAAUAUUGAUUAUUGCAUGAUAAUUGAUUGAACGAUGCUAUUGCAUCACUACUAGAUGGACCUGCGUUGUAUUAGCUAGUAGGUGAGGUAACGGCUCACCUAGGCGACGGUACAUAGCCGAGCUGGAGGGGGGGUCGGGCAAACCGGGACUGGGACACGGCUCAGGAUCCUACGGGAGGGAGCAGGAGGGGAUCUUCGGAAAUGGACGGAAGUCUGACCGAGCAACGCCGGGGGAGUGAAGGAGGGUCUCGGACCGGAAAGGGCUGUUGGUUGGGGAGAACGGGGGUAGGAGUGGAAAGUUCACACUGUGACGGUAUCUUACCAGAAAGGAACGGCUAACUACGUG